rnacentral:rRNA from 1 species
AUUCCAGCUCCAAUAGUGUACAUUAAAGUUGUUGCAGUUAUAAAGCCUGUAGCUGGAUUUCUGGUGUCGCUGUGCUUCCGCGUGUUUAAUUACAUGUCAAGUUGUGUUUGCGUCGCCAUCUUUUAGCAGCACCCUCCUGGCAUUAGGUUGUUGGGUUGGUAAUGCAAAUCGUUUACUGUGAAGAAAUUAGAGUGUUCAAAGCAGGCUUAUGCCGUUGAAUACGUUAGCAUGGAAUUAUGAGAUAGGACCUUGAUACUAUUUUGUUGGUUUGCGUGUCGAGAUAAUGAUGAAUAGGGGCAGUUGGGGGUAUUUGUAUUCCGUUGUCAGAGGUGGAAUUCUUGGAUUUACGGAAGACGAACGACUGCGAAAGCAUUUACCAAGGAUGUUUUCAUCA